GAUGAACGCUAGCUACAGGCUUAACACAUGCAAGUCGAGGGGAAACGAUAGAGAAAGCUUGCUUUUUCUAGGCGUCGACCGGCGCACGGGUGAGUAACGCGUAUCCAUCCUGCCCAUCACUUGGGGAUAACCUUGCGAAAGUAAGACUAAUACCCAAUGACGUCUCUAGAAGACAUCUGAAAGAGAUUAAAGAGUUAUCGGUGAUGGAUGGGGAUGCGUCUGAUUAGCUUGUUGGCGGGGUAACGGCCCACCAAGGCGACGAUCAGUAGGGGUUCUGGGAGGAAGGUCCCAGACAUUGGAACUGAGACACGGUCCAAACUCCUACGGGAGGCAGCAGUGAGGAAUAUUGGUCAAUGGGCGAGAGCCUGAACCAGCCAAGUAGCGUGCAGGAUGAAGGCCCUAUGGGUUGUAAACUGCUUUUAUAAGGGAAUAAAGUGAGUCUCGUGAGACUUUUUGCAUGUACUUAAUGAAUAAGGACCGGCUAAUUCCAUGCCAGCCGCCGCGGUAA
rnacentral:rRNA from 1 species